GAUGUCGGCUCAUCACAUCCUGGGGCUGAAGUAGGUCCCAAGGGUAUGGCUGUUCGCCAUUUAAAGUGGUACGCGAGCUGGGUUUAGAACGUCGUGAGACAGUUCGGUCCCUAUCUGCCGUGGGCGUUGGAUGAUUUAUUGGGGCUGCUCCUAGUACGAGAGGACCGGAGUGGACGCAUCACUGGUGUUCCAGUUGUCUCGCCAGAGGCAUUGCUGGGUAGCUAAAUGCGGAAGAGAUAAGUGCUGAAAGCAUCUAAGCACGAAACUUGCCAAGAGAUGAGUCAUCCCUGACUUUAAGUCAGUAAGGGUUGUUGUAGACUACGACGUAGAUAGGUCAGGUGUGUAAGUGUAGUGAUACAUUGAGCUAACAGAUACUAAUUGCCCGAGAGGCUUAACUAUACAACGCUCAAG
rnacentral:rRNA from 1 species